rfam:Ciona savignyi cont_24223, whole genome shotgun sequence.
GACUCCGUGGCGCAACGGUAGCGCGUCCGACUCCAGAUCGGAAGGUUGCGU